GCCUGCUUAGUCUAGUGGUGAUGACUCCCUCCGGGCUUCCAAGACGACCAACAAUCGUGGGACCGUGAGUGGCAACCUGAGUUCAAUCUCAGAGCGGGCA